ACGUUCGGGUAAUCGCUAUGCCUCUCUUUUGAGGUGUAGAGGAAAGUCCAUGCUCGCACGGUUCUGAGAUGACCGUAGUGAUCGCGCCUGGCCAAAAAAUAAGCCAGGGCAGUCUGGUUUCGACUGGGCUGACGGCAGGGAAAUCACCUAAGUCCAUACGGAUAUGGUGAUACGACCUUGAAAGUGCCACAGUGACGUAGUCCUUCCGGAAACGGCAGGAGUGGAACGAGGUAAACCCCGCGAGCGAGAAACCCAAAUUAUGGUAGGGGAGUUUCUCACGAAGGAAAUGAACUUUGUGAGAGAGCGUCCAGCAGCAUGCUGGAUGGAGAUAGAUGAUUACCACCGGUGUACGAGGCUGAUUGCCGUCUGCAGUACUAAGGUACAGAACAUGGCUUACAGAA
rnacentral:RNase_P_RNA from 1 species